GAUGAACGCUAGCGGAAGGCUUAAUACAUGCAAGUCGAGCGGUAGGUGGCUUCGGCCAUUGAGAGCGGCGCACGGGUGAGUAACGCGUACAUGACCUGCCUGUCAGAAGGGGAUAGCCCUGGGAAACUGGGAUUAAUACCCUAUGGUAUUGAUAUUAUGAAUGAUAUCAAUUAAAGUUGAGGCGCUGACAGAUGGAUGUGCGUCUGAUUAGCUAGUUGGUAGGGUAACGGGCCUACCAAGGCGACGAUCAGUAGGGGGCGGUGAGAGCGUGGUCCCCCACCACGGGUACGUGAGACACGGACCCGACUCCUACGGGAGGGCAGCAGUAAGGAAUAUUGGUCAAUGCCCG
rnacentral:rRNA from 1 species